rnacentral:tRNA from 1 species
GCUGAUGUAGCUCAGCUGGUAGAGCAGCGCAUUCGUAAUGCGCGGGCCGGGGGUUCAAGUCCCUCCAUCAGCACCA